UACAUUGUUGCCUGUGAUGCAGUAUGCUUCAGACUGAAACAUAGUGUUGCCAUUCAGCUGUUCGUCACUACCACUGAGGCAGCAGAA